AACGAACGCUGGCGGCAGGCUUAACACAUGCAAGUCGAGCGCCCCGCAAGGGGAGCGGCAGACGGGUGAGUAACGCGUGGGAACGUACCCUUAUCUUCGGGAAAGCUCCGGGAAACUGGAAUUAAUACCGAAUGUGCCCUUUGGGGGAAAGAUUUAUCGGAUAAGGAUCGGCCCGCGUUGGAUUAGCUAGUUGGUGGGGUAAAGGCCUACCAAGGCGACGAUCCAUAGCUGGUCUGAGAGGAUGAUCAGCCACAUUGGGACUGAGACACGGCCCAAACUCCUACGGGAGGCAGCAGUGGGGAAUAUUGGACAAUGGGCGCAAGCCUGAUCCAGCCAUGCCGCGUGAGUGAUGAAGGCCUUAGGGUUGUAAAGCUCUUUCACCGGAGAAGAUAAUGACGGUAUCCGGAGAAGAAGCCCCGGCUAACUUCGUG
rnacentral:rRNA from 1 species